rnacentral:tRNA from 1 species
GCUCUGGUGGCGAAAUUGGCAGACGCGCUAGCUUGAGGUGCUAGAGGUGUAAAAACCGUGGAGGUUCAAGUCCUCUCCAGGGCA